rnacentral:rRNA from 1 species
AGUCAAUAGAUACCCGGGUAGUCCACGCCGUAAACGAUGAGUACUAGGUGUAGGAGGUGUCGACUCCUUCUGUGCCGCAGUUAAACACAAUAAGUACUCCGCCUGGGAAGUACGGUCGCAAGAUUAAAACUCAAAGGAAUUGACGGGGGCCCGCACAAGCAGCGGAGCAUGUGGUUUAAUUCGAAGCAACGCGAAGAACCUUACCUAGACUUGACAUCUCCUGAAUAGCGCAGAGAUGCGUGAAGCCCUUCGGGGCAGGAAGACAGGUGGUGCAUGGUUGUCGUCAGCUCGUGUCGUGAGAUGUUGGGUUAAGUCCCGCAACGAGCGUAACCCCUAUUAUUAGUUGCUACCAUUAAGUUGAGCACUCUAAUGAGACUGCCCGGGUUAACCGGGAGGAAGGCGGGGAUGACGUCAAAUCAUCAUGCCCCUUAUGUCUAGGGCUACACACGUGCUACAAUGGUGAGAACAACGAGAUGCAAUACCGCGAGGUGAGCAAAACUUGAAAACUCAUCUCAGUUCGGAUUGUAGGCU